GGCUUACUCUUGAGGAAAAGAGAGGAGACGAGAGGAGGGACAAGGGGAUGGGAAGAGCGUGAAUCUGGGUAUUUGAUUGUUAAAGCAUCAGGUGAAAGUCAUUCAGUUUGUAAUUGUCUCUUUGACUGGAUGGGGUGUGCUUAUCUUUAGUGGAUACAAGUUUUUCACCGGAGACAAAGGCAAGAAGGAAGAGGGAAAUAUCUAAGGCAUGCAUCACCAUGUGGCACGAUGGAGUUUGAUUCUAUUAAGCAUCAUAUACAUUUCUUCCCCUGGAUUGCAUCAACAGGUAAUGGAGCACCUGGAUGGAAACAAGCACUCUCAGCUUUACAAUGUCAAGAAGGAAUUCAGACACAACUAUGAAGAUGAAACAACACCAUCAGAUCAGACCAGCACAAAUACAUUGGUUCAAUCUGAUACAAAAGACCUUACCUAGCCACUUGUGCUUUGUAAUCUUAUGCUUUUUGUCAAGCUGUGUAACUUUUUUCGAUAAGGACCAUUCUCUAUGUUUUUUGUAAUGCUAACGGUCCAUGAAAAACAA